rnacentral:rRNA from 1 species
CCCGCUGAACUUAAGCAUAUCAAUAAGCGGAGGAAAAGAAACUAACAAGGAUUCCCCUAGUAACGGCGAGUGAAGCGGGAACAGCUCAAGCCCUUAAUCAGUGUUGGUACACCGACAUUGAAUUGUAGCUUGAAGGUUAACACUUUGGCAACAUAGCAGACAUAAGUCUUUUGAAUAGGACGCCAGAGAGGGUGCAAGCCCCGUCUUUUGUCAGCAUCAUGUUUGUCAGUGCAAGUGUUUUCCAGCGAGUCGGGUUGUUUGGGAAUGCAGCCCUAACUGGGUGGUAAAUUUCAUCCAAAGCUAAAUAUCAGCCAGAGACCGAUAGCGAACAAGUACCGUGAGGGAAAGAUGAAAAGCACUCUGGAGAGAGAGUGAAAUAGUACGUGAAAUCGCUGCAAGGGAACUGCUUGCUCACCUCAAGUCAUAUCUUUUUAGGUUGUGACGGCUAGCACCAGUUUGAACUCUCGGACAGCCUUGAACGGAAGGUAGGUAGGGUCUUUGAUCCUGCUGUUAUAGCCGUUCUAAUGGGUUUACGUGGGGUUUGGACUGAGGCAUACCAGCAGUACGUGCUCUCCUCGGGGGGCGGCCUGCCAUGCCUGCUCAUUGUAGACACUCCUUAGACAACAUGUUGACUAAGGGUGAAAUCUCUAACGGUGACUCGGGUGUGUGCGGGACUAACUAGUACUAAAGGUGCUGGCUUAAGGGUAGUAAGCAACCCGUCUUGAAACACGG